GGGAUUGCACUUAGUUAUUUGAUAGGUUUAAUAUGUUCUGCAUGGCAUCGCUUAUUCCUCUUUUUGAAGCAACAUGGCCUUAUAUGGGUGGUGUUAAAAGCGAGCAAGUUUUUAAUCUUUGGGGAAGAGUUAAAACAACUCAGAAUCCUGUUAGGAGUUUUGUUAGUCUUGUGUGCAGUCUAGCCCUUUGGGUUGUAAUAGCAUGCUAUCUUUACAUGCAUAAAAGGAUCAACAGAAUGCAAAUCAGCUCACAUGGCCCCUUCAAUAGAUUUUCAAAUCCAUGGACCCAUUUAGCUGAUAAAUAACAUUAUACUAAUUAGCUCAUGUUUAUUAUUCCAAUAUUUAGUUUAUUCAAAAUUUAUCAAACAUUGCAUGUAAAGAACGUCUAAGUCUUGACAUGUAUGUAAAUAGAGAUUUUUUUUAACCACAUGGUUACAAUUAAUCAAACAAGCUGAUUUCAUUUUUUCCGGUAACCUUAUAAUGUGUAUUGAAGACAUACCCUUUAGCAAUGCAAUGAGCCACCACCACAAGGAGGCGAUCUGGCUACAAUUGUAGAUAUUUCAAGGGAAGUAGAAAGAAAAUUUUCACCUUAAAGAAAGCAUCUCAAACGAGGCUUUUAAUGAACAUAUAAGGGGGCCUGAUUUAUGCAUUUAAUAGUUGGUUUGAGGGUAUUUUCUAUAUAUAAAUAUGUAUUUAUCAACAUAAAAGUUUGGUUAGACCCAUGGCAGAUCACUUGAAAUGUCCCUGAAGGUUGAUAUUUUCACAGGAAUCUCUUAUGAAACUGGGUUGUGUCAUGAAUAGGGUCCAAUAAAAUGUUUAUCUGUCCCCUUCUCUUCGGAAGAAAAAGAAUUGUAUGAUGCAAUAAAGGGACAUAGGUUCACAAUUAAAAUAUUCUUUGGAAAUAUAACUUACUAAGCUGCAAAGACAAACGUAACUGUGCAUUUUCUAGUUCACUUUACUUACUAAGAUGUCAUUGCUUCUUUAGGGGCUACUACAGGUUUUGUUAUGCAGAGUAGGAUUUCUUAAAGUACUUCUUUUACCAGCUCUUACUAAUGGAGAUGAGAAAGUGAUUGGUGGUCUUGCAUGUUUGAUGUCAGAAAUUGGUCAGGCAGUACAUGGGUUCUACGACUUGCCACAUCAGCACCACUAAAGGGAUGGAGUCCACAACUAUACUCACUCUGCUUGACUCAAGACUCAUACCCUGAUGCUACACAGUUUGCCUAGGUCGAGAGUAGGGCCUAGGGACACCCCAAGGUCGGUGCCUUGAUUAUGCGAUGCUUGGGCGACCUAUCACCCCACGUGGGAUCACCAGGGACUUGUCUAUUUAUUGCUAGAGUUAGGGGAUCGUCAAAGUUGCCCAAUUCCCCACCCAGGUGAUUUCAUUUUGAUUAGUCUUAGACAUGAGAGAGAAGUUUCUUUGACCAAGUCAUGGAUGACAUGAGAGAGAAGUUUCUUUCACCAGAGAAGUUUCAUUUGAUUUCAUUUCAUUUUGUUCAGAUUUCAUCUUGCCUUUAUGGUCCAACUCUUCUAUAAAAAGUCUUCACCUCCAUAUAAGACACACCUCAAGGAAAGCUUUCUAUACACUAGCAUAGUUAUCAGAAUCUCGAUCCGGAUGGUAGGAUGUUAUGAUUGAACGACCCCAAUUGAACCAAAUGAUCUUGAUUGCACUAACAUCUUACAUUUUGUAGGAUAUUAAAGUGAUUACGAUCUUAGUCUUAAAAUUGCAUAGAAUCGCACUACAAUCCUGAUUUUACUACGAUCCCGAUCCUACCAAAUUUUUUUCUUAUUAUUUAUUUCUUAUAUAUGUAUGUAUGUAUAAAUUUUUUGCAUAUAAACUCCUCCAAAUGUCCAAGUCUUAACCAUUGAACCAAUGGUCACCCACUUUGUGCAUUAUGCCAAAAGUUAGGUAUGUACUCAAUCUUUUCCCUCCUAAACACACAUUAAUGUGUACUAAUUGGGUAUUGUUUUUUUUUUUACAAGAUGCAUUAUAUCAAUUUGAUCAUUUUGCUUUAAUGAUUUUAAAAUGAUUUAACAUACAUUAUCAUUAUCAAUAAAUUUUCACUUUAUCUUGCAUUGAAAAUAGAAUCUUACGGUUGAAUUUUGUAAUAAGGCAAUAAGGUUGAAUAUUGAGAAAUAAUAGAGACAUAAAAGAGAAAAGAAAGAACACAAAGGUUUAACGUGGUUUAGCCAAUAUUGGCCUACAUCCAUACACACAAAGCCCUAAGGGGCUACAUUUUUCAUUCACUCAACUUGAUACUCUUGUUUACAUGAUACACCAUAUAUAUAAAGUGAGAGAUACAACCAAAUCGCUUCAGUUAAGGAAUUAAAAUAAAUCAAAGAUGCAAAAGAAUCAUAAUAUGCACAAAUCAUGAGAUCUCUAUAUAUUCUGAUAUCUUCCAUAUCUUCUAAUAUCUUUGAUAAUAUAAUCUUAUUUCCAACACUUACAAUCCUUGAUCUGAUUCUACAAUCUGGUCCACAAGUCUCUCCUAACGAUCCCACAUAGGAUCCCAAUUUUAACAACCUUGCACACUACAGAGCAGCUUCCAUCUCCCUGGCAUGUCCAAAGGCUCAUCCUCCACUGCCACAUUCUCUCUCUCUCUCUCUUUCCAAGGCUGCCUCAGCUGUCACCCUUUCCACCUUUGGGGGGUCUUGUGCCAUCUUUGUGCCUACCAUGAUUCCUAGGGGGCCUACAAUAGGCUCACAUCACUUGUGACCAUCUGCAAUUUGCACUCUCAUUUGUUACAUACAAAUAUAUAGGAACAUAGAAAAGAAGGAUGUCCAUGACGUGUACAUGUCGGUUGAACUAAAUUUCAUUGAAAUUUAUUUUUCCACUUAGAUGGUGCUAGUACAUGUUGUGCAGACUGCAGUACCCCCUUUGAAUACUCCACUUCCAUGAAAAUUUCUUAUUGUUGAUUGAGUACCAGGUCUCCAAUUGAUUGACCAGCAAUAAUACAUAUAGCUUCUCCCAAUUCAACCAGGUCCCUCAAAAACUGUGCAUCUUACAUCUUAUAUGUUUUUUUGAUAUUUCUGUCUUGGGAAAACUUAUUGUGUCAUUGGUGAUGAUAAAACUUUUAGGACUUGGGAGAGGUUGAAAUCAGUCUGACUCUUAUUUCCAUUCGCUUUUCGUUAGGCACCAUCUCUGAUUGUAGAAGCAAGUCCUGAAGCACUUGCAUUGGCAGAUGCACUUCUGAGUUGCGUAGCAUAUCCAAGUGAGGAAUGGGAAAUAGCAGACUCAACUUUGCAGUUCUGGUGUUGUCUUGCAACUAUAUUCUUGGCCUCGAUGUGAACAGUGGCAAAAACAAGAAAAUUGCUGAAGAUAUGUUUUUUUCUGUAUUCUCAGCAUUACUUGAUGCCCUUCUAUUGCGUGCUCAGGUAUUUCAUUAUUCUUCCACUUGGUUUUCGGUAUGAACACGUAGUCCAUCUCCUUUCUGAGUAAACAUCUGUUUCAUUCUGCUGGGUUAUUCUGGGCAAGAUUGUACAUUCUUGAAGCUGGAGGUCAAUGUUCAUAGUUUAUCUAACUGUUCUACAUGCUGUCAUAAUUGAAUCGAGUAAUUCAGCUUAUUAAUUU